AGAGCAGGCCGCGGGUGAGGGACGAGAGCGGCCCAAAUUCCCAACCCAAAUCACGGGCCCAGCUUUGCCGACUCUGCUGCAUCUCUCCCCUUUCUCUCCUCGCCGAGCGGAGACGAGGACGCCCCGCCCGCCGGACCACCGACGGCGCAAGCCACCGCCACCUCCAAGGAAGGCCGUACUCUUCGUGCUGCGGCUACUCGCCGGCGCAGCGAGUCUCCCGAGUCCCACCACCGCGGAUCGCCGGCCAUCCGUCCAUGGCAGCGUCGUCCACCACCGGCGUCAGCAGGACCAGCACGGCGGCGGGCAACAACGUCAGCACCGAGUUCGGCCUCGCUCCCCAAACCUCCCAUCCCGCCUGCCGCCACCACCACGGCCGCUCAAGAUUCCGAACAAAUUAGCUAGGUGAAAUGGAGCGGUUUGGCCGGACAAUGCUGUGGCACAAGUGUAGGAGGAGGAGGAGGUGAACUAGAUAGCGGCUGGAUAAUUUGUGAUGUGCUUUUGUAGGUUCCUUUAAUGGACCGUUUUCUCAAACUGGAAAGUAUGUACCUGCACCUCACUCCAUAUCAAGAUCCUGCAACAGGACGAGAUGAAGGGAUGCUUGAAUAUAUCCCUUCCAGUAUGCUUGCACACGUAACUUCAUAUUGAGGAUCAUGGUCGACAGCAGUCAGUGCUGGGUUUUCAAAUGACUUGUUAUUUUUUUUCCAUUGGACAAAGGUAUUAUCGAGAGUUGUGCCAGUUACUCUGUCGUUACAUAUAUUGUGGGUGUUGGAAACAGGUUGGUGUUUGCCUUC